CAAUCAAGGAAAGAGCAGGCGCGCAAUUACCCAAUCCUGACUCAGGGAGGUAGUGACAAGAAAUAACAAUAAACCGGCUUAUGCCGGUUUAAUUGGAAUGAGUACAAUUUAAACAUCUUAACGAGGAACAAUUGGAGGGCAAGUCUGGUGCCAGCAGCCGCGGUAAUUCCAGCUCCAAUAGCGUAUACUAAAGUUGUUGCAGUUAAAAAGCUCGUAGUUGGAUUUCUGUGGGGACGGAGCGGCCGGCCGCACAUCGCGGUUCGAGCUAGCGCUUUCCCUACAUCCUGCCGCGAACCGUGCUACCAUUAGUUUGGUGGCGCCGGGGAUCGGCUCGAUUACUUUGAGAAAAAUAGAGUGUUCAAAGCAGGCCACAUGCCUUGAAUAAGUUAGCAUGGAAUAAUAACUAAGGACUUCGGUUCUAUUUUGUUGGUGUUCGGGACUGAAGUAAUGAUUGAUAGGGACAGUUGGGGCGGUCUGUAUUCCAAAGCGAGAGGUGAAAUUCUUAGACCUUCGGAAGACAAACAGCUGCGAAAGCGUUCCGCAAGGAUGUUCCCUUUGAUCAAGAACGAAAGUUGGGGGAUCGAAGACGAUCAGAUACCGUCGUAGUCUCAACUAUAAACUAUACCAGCUAGGGAUCGGCCAACGUUAUUUUAUACCGACUUGGUCGGCACCUUAUGAGAAAUCAAAGCAUCUGGGUUCCGGGGGGAGUAUGGUCGCAAGGCUGAAACUUAAAGGAAUUGACGGAAGGGCACCACCAGCCGUGGAGCCUGUGGCUUAAUUUGACUCAACACGGGAAAACUUACCAGGUCCAGACAUAGUAAGGAUUGACAGGUUGAUAGCUCUUUCUUGAUUCUGUGGGUGGUGGUGCAUGGCCGUUCUUAGUUGGUGGAGUGAUUUGUCUGGUUAAUUCCGUUAACGAACGAGACCCCAGCCUGCUAAAUAGCGCGAGUGAGCUUUGCUCGCUGCGAGCUUCUUAGAGGGACUAUGAUGCGCGAUAGCACAUGGAAGUUUGGGGCAAUAACAGGUCUGUGAUGCCCUUAGAUGUUCUGGGCCGCACACGGGCUACACUGGCGCCUGCAACGAGCAUAUCAGCUGGCCCGAGAGGGUCUUGGCUAAUCUUUUGAACCGGCGCCGUGCUUGGGAUUGACCUUUGCAAUUGUUGGUCAUGCAACGAGGAAUGCCUUGUAAACGCGAGUCAUCAGCUCGCAUUGAAUACGUCCCUGCCCUUUGUACACACCGCCCGUCGCUCCUACCAAUGAAUGUUCCGAUGAAAUUUUCGGAGAGCACCUGUGAACUUGGCUCUGCCUUGCGAACGGGAGGCUCAAAGUCACUUAAAUCUAACCAUUG
rnacentral:rRNA from 1 species